rnacentral:rRNA from 1 species
UACGUAGGGUGCAAGCGUUGUCCGGAAUUAUUGGGCGUAAAGAGCUCGUAGGCGGUUUGUCGCGUCUGCUGUGAAAACGCGAGGCUCAACCUCGCGCCUGCAGUGGAUACGGGCAGACUAGAGGUAGGUAGGGGAGAAUGGAAUUCCCGGUGUAGCGGUGAAAUGCGCAGAUAUCGGGAGGAACACCGGUGGCGAAGGCGGUUCUCUGGGCCUUACCUGACGCUGAGGAGCGAAAGCGUGGGGAGCGAACAGGAU